GCGGCCGUGAUGGAACUGGCAGUCAUGCUGGGUUUAGGUCCCAGUGGGUUCACACCCGUGUGGGUUCGAAUCCCACCGGCCGCACC
rnacentral:tRNA from 1 species